UCUCCGUUGGUGAACCAGCGGAGGGAUCAUUACAGGACUCGCAAGACUCCUUCACCCUGUGAACCUCACUACAAGCACGUUGCUUCGGCGGGUGUCCCGGCGGGGGUUUUCCCUCGCCGGGGCGCACAGCCCGCCGGCAGCCUACUAUACUCUGUCUCUUUGCGUUGGCAUCCCGAGAAAAAACGAACAAGUUAAAACUUUCAACAACGGAUCUCUUGGUUCUG
rnacentral:misc_RNA from 1 species